CGAUAGGUAGAAUAAGUAUUGUAUGGGAAAUCUAGUAUUUGUUAAGUUAUCCGAUCUCGAUGGAUUUCUUGGCCCUUGAAGUGCGGGCCUACUAAUAUCGGAAUUGUGAAUGCCGCCAAAAAUGUGCUUCUCAUUGUCUUGUGAAUUGUAGGAGGGCACACUGCGAAUAAAACGUCAACCACGACCGCGCGUACGCCAGGCGCACGCCGCCCUUGAAGUAUCCCUCUCUUCGGACCUACGCGUGUGGGGUAGUCGUUUAAGGCAACUCCAUAUGAAGCAAGACAACUCCUUUUAUUCGCAGCCCUAGGGACCUGCAAGGGCAACUUGCGCUGGAGGACGACUUGGCGACCAGCUAGAGAGUUGCCAGGAGCAUUCCCGUACCAGUAGAGGAGUCGCAGACAGCGACAUAGAGGAGCGCAGACAGCGCCGAACACUGGGUACGCAGCAUUCCCCCAAGAGGAGUUCGCGGCUGAGAGGAGGGGACGCCACCCCUACAGCAGCGCGAGCGGAUCCGCAGCCAGCGAGUAGUGGAGCAGAAAACCGGCCGCGGCGGCGGACAUUUCUAGCCCAGCCACUACGGUGACUACAGUAGCGUCCCAACUCAGGAGUACUGCUGUCACAGCUGCGAGUUCAGAGCCGGAGAUGUGCCAGUCCCUCACGUCGGACCUUUUGAAAAGGAUUGCGGCUUUGGAGGAGGAGCUGAAGCAGGUUAAAACCCUGAACGGUGACAUCAAGGAGAUGUUCCACCAAGUGCUGAUCCGACCCUAGGAUCGGUGUUCCCAACGAUUCCUUUGGAGAGAUGGCAACGACGAUCGAGACCCGGAUGUGUACGAGAUGAAGGUAAUGACGUUUGGAGCAGCCUGCUCGCCGAGCGCUGCGCAUUACGUAAAGACUGUGCAUGCCCUGAAGUCAGCGAAGAAGCAUCAAUGAGCCAACUGGCGAAGGCCAGCUGUUGCAGCCACGGACGGAAACAUCCCAAAUACAAAUAAAAAUUGUAAAAUUAAGCGGAACGCUUUUCUGCCCGAUAGCAGUAUAGCCCGGAAAGCUAUAUGGAAAAAAAGAAUGAUGAAAAAACAAAAAAAAAGCUAAGCCCCAAUUAAAAUCAAUCCCAAAUUCUAAAUUUAAAAAAACCUAAAUACAGGAAAUAAUAUAAUUUUAUAAGCAAAUUUGAAGAUUUUGAUGUACAAGAUAGAACCAUGAUGGGGUUGAUUGAAGGUAAAACAGUGGACUUCACUGCAAAUGUAAUUAACAACAUUGAAUCUACCAAUGUCGAUCCUUAUUUGACGAAUAUAUUUUUAUUAAUAAUAGUUGUUUAUUUUGUCUUUACAAAGACUUAUCUUACACAAAAGGUGUAUAACUAAAUGGGCUUUAAGCCAAGCUAACGAUCUAGACAAGAUCUAAUUUUAUCAAACCACAAACAAUUGUGUUAAAAAUAUAUUCGAAAAAAAAAAAUCUCUUUACUCGUACGUACAAGAAGCGUAAAUUAAUGAGCAAAAUGAAUUGACUAACAGAAAUCACAGAAAAUGAGAUUAAAAAAAAUUAAAACUAAAAAAUCAAAAAAUAAACAUAAUUGAUUUUACAAAUAAAAAAUUUCAAUUUACUAAAAAAUGU